rnacentral:rRNA from 1 species
GACGUGCUAAUCUGCGAUAAGCGUCGGUAAGGUGAUAUGAACCGUUAUAACCGGCGAUUUCCGAAUGGGGAAACCCAGUGUGAUUCGUCACACUAUCAUUAACUGAAUCCAUAGGUUAAUGAGGCGAACCGGGGGAACUGAAACAUCUAAGUACCCCGAGGAAAAGAAAUCAACCGAGAUUCCCCCAGUAGCGGCGAGCGAACGGGGAGCAGCCCAGAGCCUGAAUCAGUGUGUGUGUUAGUGGAAGCGUCUGGAAAGGCGCGCGAUACAGGGUGACAGCCCCGUACACAAAAAUGCACAUACUGUGAGCUCGAUGAGUAGGGCGGGACACGUGGUAUCCUGUCUGAAUAUGGGGGGACCAUCCUCCAAGGCUAAAUACUCCUGACUGACCGAUAGUGAACCAGUACCGUGAGGGAAAGGCGAAAAGAACCCCGGCGAGGGGAGUGAAAAAGAACCUGAAACCGUGUACGUACAAGCAGUGGGAGCCUCUUUAUGGGGUGACUGCGUACCUUUUGUAUAAUGGGUCAGCGACUUAUAUUCUGUAGCAAGGUUAACCGAAUAGGGGAGCCGAAGGGAAACCGAGUCUUAACUGGGCGUUAAGUUGCAGGGUAUAGACCCGAAACCCGGUGAUCUAGCCAUGGGCAGGUUGAAGGUUGGGUAACACUAACUGGAGGACCGAACCGACUAAUGUUGAAAAAUUAGCGGAUGACUUGUGGCUGGGGGUGAAAGGCCAAUCAAACCGGGAGAUAGCUGGUUCUCCCCGAAAGCUAUUUAGGUAGCGCCUCGUGAAUUCAUCUCCGGGGGUAGAGCACUGUUUCGGCAAGGGGGUCAUCCCGACUUACCAACCCGAUGCAAACUGCGAAUACCGGAGAAUGUUAUCACGGGAGACACACGGCGGGUGCUAACGUCCGUCGUGAAGAGGGAAACAACCCAGACCGCCAGCUAAGGUCCCAAAGUCAUGGUUAAGUGGGAAACGAUGUGGGAAGGCCCAGACAGCCAGGAUGUUGGCUUAGAAGCAGCCAUCAUUUAAAGAAAGCGUAAUAGCUCACUGGUCGAGUCGGCCUGCGCGGAAGAUGUAACGGGGCUAAACCAUGCACCGAAGCUGCGGCAGCGACGCUUAUG